rnacentral:lncRNA from 1 species
GGAAACUUUCGCUCUGUCUCUUCGCACGUGAAUCUUGAUAUUCCUUUUGCCGGGCUAGAGAGCAUUUCUUCUCAACUGUGUCGAGCCUUCACUGGUUGAAUCCUCGCUGAUCAAACUCUUGAAGGAGACAAGUAAAGCACUUAUUCUAUUUUUGGCCCCUACUAGGUAGUACUGUAGUAGGUUUUUUAAGAUGUUUUCUCGGAGAUCAUAAGGAAUUUCUUAUACUGGCACUCCCUUUAUCCAGUAGAUUCUGUAGGCAAACCUACUACAAAAUGAGUUUGUUGUGGUACUAGUUCUUCAUCCCUUCUGGCAAUAGAUCUGAAUGUAUAGAGUGGUGUGGCCUAGGGAAAGAGCUUCAACUCCAAGGACUCCCGUGCUACUUUGACCUUGCUUUACCCAUCCACUACCACUUAGAAGAUUUUUAAAAGUUUAGUAGAAUUUAGUUUAGGAGAUGAUUCAAUUUCUAGGAUGAAUAGUUUGGCGUUUGUUCUAAAAUUAAGAAUAGAUCAAUCAUAUUGUGACGAUGCAACGUCUGUAUGGUAACAAAACCACAAAAUUAUUCAAUGAUUGAUUCUUGAAGAAGCAAUACACAUGUAUUGAAUCAGAGCUUCUUGCAACUUGGUGAAUUAUUGUCCGUAUUGACAAAAAUUGCUUACAUGAUAUGCAAGAUUCCUCAGAGAUGUGAAAAUUCAAAAUCAAAAUGAUAGCAAGGGAUUAUGUGGCUAGGCUUUUUCCAUUGAUUGCAGCCUUUUGAAUUGGCAAGUGUCGAAGAAUAACUUCAUUCAGAAAAUAAAAAAAUGUAAAAGAUGUUGGGGUUUGUUGGGUUAUUUGGGUACAAAACUGAACCUUUCAAAUCCUUUGAGCUAUUUGCAGAAUUACAGACCGUGGGGAACUGGCAAUCUAACAAGAUAAUGGACGUACUGAAUCGAUAUCGAUCUACACUGUCCCAAUUUGGCUACCUGGGCUUUGUCUGGCCGUUGCUUUUUUUAUCGAUACUGAAACGUGUUAAAGCUUUCAACUUUUGGCCUUUUCUUUUGAUAAUUUUUGAUGUUGCAUUUUGUGGUUCACAUCGUGGUACGACUGCAGCAUCAUUGCCGC